rnacentral:lncRNA from 10 species
GCUCUGAGCAGGCCGACAGUCAUAGACGAGUAGACCUUAGGCGAGGGAAGGCAUGUACUUUCCCUAAGAAGCGGGAGGAGAGAAAUAAAUAGAGGGCAGUGGGAUGAGAAGAACCUCGCGGGAUGGGAAGCCGCGGAGGGAAGGGCCGUCUUUGGUUACCUGGAGAGCGGGAGCAGCUGCGGAUCCCUUAUGAAGUGCCCGGAUGAAGCUCCAGCGCUCACGCGCUUUCCGCAUUGAGUGCAGCGCCAUCUUGAGAAGGGCGGAGCCGUCUUGUUUGGAAUGACGUCUGUUCAGAGAGCCAAUCCCAGUCUCGCGACUCCUGCUUGCUGGGCGCGGCUUGGGCCUCCAGGCUGCGCAGCGCAGCCGCUAUCGGGCGGACUGCAGUUCUUGCCGAGCAGUCGCAAUGAUUUGUAUGACAGCUGCUAGCCCAAGAGAGAGUUCCAGAAGAGGGCUACCUAACAGGUGCUGUGGCAUUUAGAAGAGGAAUGGAGCCAUUGUCAACGCACAGCUUGCAGGGGAGCAGGAGAGUCAGUCUAAGAAGGAAAUGUGAUGAUGGAAACAGAGGUUGGAAGAUGGAAGAGGACCCAGAGUCAAGGAAUGCAGAUGGAGUCUUGCUCUGCUGCCCAGGCUGGAGUGCAGUGGACUGAUCUUGGCUCACUGCAGCGUCCAUCUUCCGGGUUCAAGCGAUUCUCCUGCUUCAGCCUCUCAAGUAGCUGGGAUUACAGGCGCCCACCACACCCGGCUAAUUUUUUUUUUUUUUAAUACUUUAAGUUUUAGGUUACAUGUGCACAACGUGCAGGUUUGUUACAUAUGUAUACAUGUGCCAUGUUGGUGUGCUGCACCCAUUAACUCGUCAUUUAGCAUUAGGUAUCUCUCCUAAUGCUAUCCCUCCCCCCUCCCCCCACCCCACAACCGUCCCCAGUGUGUGAUGUUCCCCUUCCUGUGUCCAUGUGUUCUCAUUGUUCAAUUCCCACCUAUGAGUGAGAACAUGCGGUGAUUGGUUUUUUCUCCUUGCAAUAGUUUGCUGAGAAUGAUGGUUUCCAGCUUCAUUCAUGUCCCUACAAAGGACAUGAACUCAUCAUUUUUUAUGGCUGCAUGGUAUUCCAUGGUGUAUAUGUGCCACGUUUUCUUAAUCCAGUCUAUCAUUGUUGAAUAUUUGGGUUGUUUCCAAGUCUUUCCUAUUGUGAAUAAUGCCACAAUAAACAUACGUGUGCAUGUGUCUUUAUA